rnacentral:siRNA from 1 species
CCAGGACGAUGAAUGGGCGAUGAA